CACACACACACACACACACACACACACACACACACACACUAAACAAGCACAUAGAUACAUAUAAUGAAAUACUUUGAAGAAAAAAAUCUCAGCAAUAGGAAAAGAAGACUCAUGGGAGGGAAAUGACUGAGUAGAAUGAUGUCAUUAUGCAACAAGACAGGUCCAGGAUAAGAUGAAGCCUAUCAUUGGAUAAGAAGGAACAGUAGGAGGGAAAAAGUCAAGGAAGAAGAGAGGAGGAAGAGAAGCUGAAGAAAAUCAAGAUGGAGAUGAUGGAACAGGAUGAUCCAGAAUCAGGUGGACUAGGUCAAUUUUACCUUGUCUAGGUGAGUGGUCUAUACCUUUACUAAUUGGCAGUGAAUUUAUUGUGUGGAUGUGUUGUGGAUUGACAAUUUAACAUAUGAAUCUGAUUGAUAAAUUACAAGUUUCUAGAACUUUGAUUUUAUGGGGCUACAAGUGAUGUGAGCAAGGUUCCUGGUGGGCAGAGAGACAGCCUAGCAGAAAGAGGGCAGCUAAAGAAUGUCUGGAGCUAGCAUGAAACGGUGCUAGCUAGAGAGGCACACAGAACUCGAUGGUACCAAACUGCCAAGGAGGCAGUGUGAGAAAGCAGCUGGCAGAGAGACAGAGAGACGGCUAGAGUGCUCAGCUCCUGUAGAUCCACCUGGAGUGGGCAAUGCUCGGGUACCAAUAGCCACUGAUACAUUUCUUCUUUUUAUCAAAACACCCAUUCCUCUGUUAAGGAGCAUCAGGGUUGCUUCCAGUUUCUGGCUAUUGUUGGUGCCCGCACAGACAUGAUACCAAGAGUCAGGCAUAGGCCUGCAAGGUUUAAGAAAAAAAAAAAAAAAAAAAAAACACAUACUCGGGUGUCAUUCGUGGAUGAGAAUGCUAAAUCUUUUACUUGAUUCACCGAAUAUAUACCCCAAGCUCACCGGGUGGAAAAUUCCAGGAAGCACAGUGGAAAAACCGGCUUAGGCCCUCAGGAAUAAAGAAAGAGGAACAAAAGACCAGAACUGAUUAUUGCCCAAGUGUAUGCCCAAGUAUGCCGCUUCAGGGC
ensembl:lncRNA